AGUGAACGCUGGCGGUAGGCCUAACACAUGCAAGUCGAACGGCAGCACAGUAAGAGCUUGCUCUUACGGGUGGCGAGUGGCGGACGGGUGAGGAAUACAUCGGAAUCUACUUUUUCGUGGGGGAUAACGUAGGGAAACUUACGCUAAUACCGCAUACGACCUACGGGUUAAAGCAGGGGAUCUUCGGACCUUGCGCGAUUGAAUGGGCCGAUGUCGGAUUAGCUAGUUGGCGGGGUAAAGGCCCACCAAGGCGACGAUCCGUAGCUGGUCUGAGAGGAUGAUCAGCCACACUGGAACUGAGACACGGUCCAGACUCCUACGGGAGGCAGCAGUAGGGAAUAUUGGACAAUGGGCGAAAGCCUGAUCCAGCCAUACCGCGUGGGUGAAGAAGGCCUUCGGGUUGUAAAGCCCUUUUGUUGGGAAAGAAAAGCAGCAGGUUAAUACCCCGCUGUUCUGACGGUACCCAAAGAAUAAGCACCGGCUAACUUCGUG
rnacentral:rRNA from 1 species